rnacentral:rRNA from 1 species
GACGAACGCUGGCGGCGUGCUUAACACAUGCAAGUCGAACGGGAAGGCUCCAGCUUGCUGGGGUACACGAGUGGCGAACGGGUGAGUAACACGUGGGUGACCUGCCCUGCACUUCGGGAUAAGCCUGGGAAACUGGGUCUAAUACCGGAUAGGACCAUGAAGUGGAUACUGUGGUGGAAAGUUUUUUCGGUGUGGGAUGGGCCCGCGGCCUAUCAGCUUGUUGGGGGGGUAAUGGCGUACCAAGGCGGCGACGGGUAGCCGGCCUGAGAGGGUGUACGGCCACAUUGGGACUGAGAAACGGCCCAGACUCCUACGGGAGGCAGCAGUGGGGAAUAUUGCACAAUGGGCGGAAGCCUGAUGCAGCGACGCCGCGUGGGGGAUGACGGCCUUCGGGUUGUAAACUCCUUUCACCAUCGACGAAGGGUUUCUGACGGUAGAUGGAGAAGAAGCACCGGCUAACUACGUG